UUCUUCCAAGAUUGGAACAUUUCAGCCUGC
rnacentral:piRNA from 1 species